CAGUAGCCGCGGGAAUACGAAGGGGGCUAGCGUUGCUCGGAAUGACUGGGCGUAAAGGGCGCGUAGGCGGCGAUCAAAGUCAGGCGUGAAAUUCCUGGGCUCAACCUGGGGGCUGCGCUUGAUACUUGGUUGCUUGAGUGGGGAAGAGGGUCGUGGAAUUCCCAGUGUAGAGGUGAAAUUCGUAGAUAUUGGGAAGAACACCGAUGGCGAAGGCGGCGACCUGGUCCUUGACUGACGCUGAGGCGCGAAAGCGUGGGGAGCAAACAGGAUUAGAUACCCCAGUAGUCCCUGUCUCUUAUAA
rnacentral:rRNA from 1 species